ACAGUAUGUAUGUUAGACAGCAUAUCUAAUGUUUUUUCCCCCUGGGUCGUUCAUGAGCAAGAGAGCAGAACAACAGCUCUUCUCGCUGCGUCCCAUAAGCUUUACUCAGCCUGCAAGACUAUCUUGAGGAGGGUCCUUGGCCUCUGGUAUUUACCUGAGGGAUCGAAACCUUAUCGGGUGUUGCUGAGUUAGCGCUCUCAGCCGCUGGGGAGAGCACACAGAGCUGUUUCUGCUGAGUGCCAAACAUACUGUCAACUUAUUACAUGGUGGAAGAAAAUGGGAUGCUUUGACACACCAGAACAUGUGCGGACGAUAAAAGUGUGUCUUUCAUUCUCAGGGAUUGCCUGCGAGGGUGAGAUUUCAUUCUGCCUUCAAGUUGCACAUUGUUAUUACAUCAAAGUGCCUGCAUGGAGUGUUGCAAUAAUCCACGCGGAGGCAAGCCAAGCGUCAGGUAUUGAGGAGAUGAGGGCUGUGGAAGUGGGGUCAAGACCUUCCACUGCCGCCUGGAUCAUGAAAGAAAGG
ensembl:lncRNA